GACGUAGGGGGCGAGCGUUGUCCGGAUUUAUUGGGCGUAAAGCGCGCGUAGGCGGCCUGUUAAGUCGGGUGUGAAAACCCGGGGCUCAACCCCGGGCCUGCAUUCGAUACUGACAGGCUAGAGGCAGGCAGGGGAGAUCGGAAUUCCUGGUGUAGCGGUGAAAUGCGCAGAUAUCAGGAGGAACACCGGUGGCGAAGGCGGAUCUCUGGGCCUGUCCUGACGCUCAGGCGCGAAAGCUAGGGGAGCAAACAGG
rnacentral:rRNA from 1 species